AAGUCGUAACAAGGUUUCCGUAGGUGAACCUGCGGAAGGAUCAUUAAACAUAUUACGGGGGGCCGGACCCAAGGUGUGUGGAUUUCCAUGUGCUUUGACCCGCCCUGUCUGAAUAUUCUACCCAUGUCUUUUGCGUACUAUUCGUUUCCUCGGUGGGCUUGCCUGCCGAUAGGACACUAUAAAACCUUUUGUAAUUGCAGUCAGCGUCAGAAAUCAUUUAAUAAUUAAAACUUUCAACAACGGAUCUCUUGGUUCUG
rnacentral:misc_RNA from 1 species